AGAGACAGUUUUCCCGUUUCACGGACAUUUGCGCUCUGUUCCCCACACACUGAUAUGCCCUUGUUCGCCCCUCUGGUCUUUGUCUGCAGUGUUGAGGAGUAGCGUGUCUGAGCCCCAAAAAACAACGCGCCCUUCUUGAGGAAGAACGAAAAAAAAAAGAACGUGGGCUCGCGUCGCUUUCCCUAGCUUGCCUUAGACGACCGCAUUUGACCCGCUCACACCAUCAUGACGACUCUUCUGACGUGCUCCUCUGAGCAGAGGGUUGCACCGCUGUCACUUGCAUCCAUGCGGUGCAGGAUGGCUGCGCUUCGCCGCGCCGCUUCUCAACCCAAUGCGCUCCUUUUGCGCGCCCCCCUUUUUCGGCCAACCUCGUCGCUGAUGAUGAGUGUGCGUUGCCGUUCGGACUCUGGUUUUGCGAAGAGCCGUCCGGUAAAGUACGUGUCAACUGAAGCGCCGGAACUGCGGCGUGGUGGCUCGAGCGCCGAGGCGGGGUCUUACAAGACGGUCAACGGCGUUCUCUCGGCAGACUACGUUGGAGGGCUGAGUAACGUCACCGCGGAGAAGUUCCGCGGCAUGCAGCCGGUCGGCACCUGGGAACGAGGCGAUGGCGACGGAGAGAGCGACGAGACCGCGAACGGCUCCGCGGAGGUCAUGGAGGUGGACUUCACCUCCGACGAGAAGCUCAGCAAGCUGGAGAAGCUCUACCGCGGCGCACACAAGGGCGACAAGAUUCUGUCCCCUCGUGAGCGCCAGCUCUUUUCCCGCAUGAUCUACGAAAAAUUCUAUAAGGUCGGAGUUCAGAGCGUCGUUGAUCCCGCGAUUUUAUACCAGGCGUCGCUUGAGGUGCAUUGGGUAGAGGAGUGGGCUGCUGGCCGCGCGCGCGCGGAGCGCUGGUCUGAAGAAGAAGCGCGACGCCAGGUGAAGCGGUCGCUCCUCGAGCGCGUCGAUCUCCACAAGCCGCUCUCAUACAUUAUCGGCUCGCAGCCGUUCUUCGGGUGCGAUAUCCACUGCGAGGCGCCGCUUCUGUGCCCUCGGCCCGAGACGGAGAUGUGGACGCAUUGGAUGGUGUACAAGCACCUGGCACGCGCGGAGCGCCGCACCUUUACCACCGGCUUCUCCCCUGCUGUGUCGCCGAUCAGAAUUCUCGACGUUUGCUGCGGCACGGGCUGCAUCGGGGUGGCGCUGGCGAAGCACCUGCCAAGCGCCGUCGUCACUGCCCUCGACAUUCUUCCAGAGGCAGUACGGGUAUCCAGAGAGAACGCGAUGCGCAACGGAAUUUCACCUGCGCGGUACUCGGCGAUGGAGAGCGACAUGUUCAGCUGCUUCCUCGAGGGGCAGGUGUCCGGGCAACCGGGUGACAGCGCCGACCUGAGCGAGGACCGCCCGUUUGGCACCGUGAAGGACGCAUAUGCUGGCACCUAUGACGUAAUCGUGUCCAACCCACCGUACGUGCUACCGGAGCAGUACGUCGGUCUGCCUUGCACCAUCACUCAUUGGGAGUCCAAGACGGCCCUCGUCGGUGAUGACUACCGCGAAUCCCGGCAGUACUUGUACUUCAAGGAGCUCUGUGUGCAUGGGGCCAAGCUGCUGAAACCGCGUGCUCGGCGCAACGAUAUGCUUCGCGAUGCGCCGAACAUUGCGAUCGAGGUCGGCCUGCAGGCGCACAUGGUGGCGGACCUGAUGGAAAAGAGCAAACUCUGGCGAGAUGUCGAAGUUCAUUUAGAUUAUGCCCAGCAGGAGCGCUGGAUUACGGCGAACUCGUCACACUGAAAAGAGCCCACAGCUCAUUCGCCACCUGUGCGAGCGAGUUCUCUGGGAUAAUCUUCGGCAGAUAUCAGAGGACUCCUUUGCACUGAGGUGUGCUUGUUUGCUUCGACUUCUCAGUCAUCGCCGCUGGCGGCGAAGAGACUUGGAGGCAGAGCACAAAAAACGCACGCGCGUCUCCUCGCCGUCGUUGUAUACAAGGGAGAAGAUGAAAACAACAGCACACACAAAAGAAAACUGCUGCUAAAAGCAUGACGGCUAGUCGCAUUUUUUUUUUCGGUGCGCUCGUUGGUUGGGUGGUGGGUCGGGUGCACUUGCGUAAUGCGUGUGUGCCCCCCUUCCCCCUCCUCCUCUUCUCCCCCUCCCCAGCGUGGACGACUGGAGUUUUCGUUGAUGGGUUCAUCUUCAGUGAGAGGCCUGUUUGAUCAUUCCCUUCCCUCUACUGGCCUUCUGAGCAACCCACUCAUACCCUUCCGAUGCCGAGCACGUACAUACACCCCACAGAGCCCAAAGCGAGAUUCGCUCAAGCAGCAGCGCUGUGGUUGUUGUUCGUACUCUCACAUUGAGACGGGCGCACGUCGCUUGCCGUGUGCACAAGCGUGCCGGCGAUUCUCUCUCUGCCCCCUCUCUUGUUCUUUUUUCUUCUCGCAUCUCGUGCCUCUCGCUUCUCUCUAUCACGUCUUGACAG
rnacentral:misc_RNA from 1 species